GGCGGCCAUUACUUAAGCGGCUGAGCCCUCCUUCUCCUCCUUUGGGCGGGCGCUGCAGCACGCCCCGUUCCGCCGGCGCGACGCAUGCGUGUUAGGAGAGGGAGUAUUAAUUGUAUGAAAAAACAUCUCUGGAGUCAAGCUGCUAAAAGCUGACCCUGAAGAUUAAUAUUUAUCAUGCUGAGAUUCGGGCAGCACCUCAUCAAGCCCUCUGUGGUCUUCCUGAAGACUGAGCUGUCCUUUGCUCUGGUGAACCGGAGGCCGGUGGUCCCAGGACAUGUCCUUGUUUGUCCUCUGCGGCCGGUGGAGCGUUUCCGUGACUUGUGUCCUGAGGAAGUGGCGGAUUUGUUUUGUACGGCGCAAAGGGUUGGCAAUGUGGUGGAGAAACACUUCUGCAGCACCUCACUCACCAUUUCAGUUCAGGAUGGUCCCGAAGCCGGACAAACGGUGAAGCAUGUUCAUGUCCAUGUGCUUCCAAGGAGGGCUGGAGACUUCAGCAGGAAUGAUGAUGUCUACGAGGAGUUGCAGCGACACGACAAAGAGGAUUCCCCUGACAAGUGGAGGACAGAAGAAGAAAUGGCAGCUGAAGCAGCAAUUCUGAAGAAGUAUUUUCAGGAAAAUUAGAGAUAACAAAGUGUUUGAAAAACAUCCUGUGCCAUAAGAAACUCCCCAGGAAGAAAGGCCUCGUGCUCCAGUUCUCGGUGACCCUGGAGCUGCAGCUGAACAACUUUAUGAUGGUCUACAAAUAUGGGAAUCUUCCACGACCAAUUUUAUUGGACCUUUGGAUAUCACCAAGAUUAGCCAAGAUAAACCGGGAGAGCUGCAGUUUUGUCAGAGUAAAUGAAAAGUCUGUUUUGAUGGUGCCUGCACUUUUUUGUCCCUGAGCAAGAAAUGAAGAAACAGGAAAUGAAGGUGAGGGGGCAAGAAAUGGCAAAGAGAAGGUGAGCAGACAGGAUGGUCCAAGAUGCUGGUGAACGGGCUAACAUCCUGUUGUCCUUUUUUCACUAUAGUAUUUAAAGUAGCUGUGAUUUCACAUAAAAGACAGACAACAGUUUUGCUGCUGGGGAAAUACUAGAAGCAAAACCCGAGCAUCACUGACAUUUGCAAGGUAUAUCCAAACCCUCCUGCUCAGUGGUUUCCUAUUAAGUAUAGAAUAUUCUGUAUUAAUUCUGUAGCCUGUGAUGAGCAGGCGCUGCGCCAACCAUUUUGCAUGGGGGCUGCUGAGCAGAUGAGUGCUGAGCUGGAUGGAAGAUUUCGUUUGUGUAAAUGAGGAGGCCGUUAUCACAGCACUAAAGGUCCUGGGUUUUAAAAAAGCCUCCCAUGGCAUUAUGCACAAAACAACCUAUUUAUGCAGCAUGAAAAUAUUUAUGUGCUUCGCUCCAGCUUAAAAAGGGAAUUUGCAAUAGAUGAGGGACAUGAGAAGGGGUUGGAGUGAGAGAUAAAGAGAGAUUAGA